UACACUCCUGCGGGAGGCAGCAGUGGGGAAUUUUGGACAAUGGGCGAAAGCCUGAUCCAGCAAUGCCGCGUGAGUGAAGAAGGCCUUCGGGUUGUAAAGCUCUUUUGUCAGGGAAGAAACGGUGAAAGCUAACAUCUUUUGCUAAUGACGGUACCUGAAGAAUAAGCACCGGCUAACUACGUGCCAGCAGCCGCGGUAAUACGUAGGGUGCAAGCGUUAAUCGGAAUUACUGGGCGUAAAGCGUGCGCAGGCGGUUUUGUAAGUCUGAUGUGAAAUCCCCGGGCUCAACCUGGGAAUUGCAUUGGAGACUGCAAGGCUAGAAUCUGGCAGAGGGGGGUAGAAUUCCACGUGUAGCAGUGAAAUGCGUAGAUAUGUGGAGGAACACCGAUGGCGAAGGCAGCCCCCUGGGUCAAGAUUGACGCUCAUGCACGAAAGCGUGGGGAGCAAACAGGAUUAGAAACCCCAGUAGUCCCAUG
rnacentral:rRNA from 1 species